GAGAGUAAAAAGAAGAGAGAGGGUAACUAAAUGUUGGGGGAAAGUGAAAUAAGAGCCAAGAGGGUGACUUGGAUAUGAUGAGGGCAAACUGAAAUCAGAGCAGGACAUGGUUUUAUGAGGAGAUUAGGGAAAUAAUAGGAGGUAGAAAGUGAAAGAUAAUAUGAAAGUGAAACAAUCAGAAAAGAAAGUUUAAAUGAGGGGAACGAGUAGGACAGAUAAGGAAGGGCAGAUGCCUUCCUCAAUUCUAUGUGAUGGAAGAUUACAGUGUAAGAACUACAGCAUAUUAAGGACAAAAAAUGAACUAAUGCCUUUAAAUGUUUCUUUAUUUCUGCAUAAAUAAGAGUCAUAAAGGGCUAAGCAUGGAAAAGCAAACCCAGUUAAACGUAUGACCCGUGUGCUGAGGGUGAGUCUCUUUUUGCAAGACUCACUUCCUGUGAGAUUCAGCCCACAGACAGAUGCACUGACACCUGACUUCGCUGCUGUCAUUCAGUCCUCAUUGCUCCAUCAUUAAAGGUGAGCUGUUGUGACCGAGACUUGGUCCUACCAUGACCGUGUUUCACUGAUGGGAUGUGGUUCCAGUGCUCUAAUGCAGUGUUUUCUUUUCUCCACACAUAACUCUCAGCAUUUAAACCAACGGUUUUAUUUAAGACAUUUCCACAGAGCAUGAUUCAAACAGAGACCUCAGCCUCAUCUGUGUGAUCUUUAGCAAACAGCAGAUGGGCAGCACAGCUUUUUUCCUUGUAUCUCUGCCAUGUGCAUUCAUGAACAUGAACAUUUGACACUGUGAGGCAGGUCUAAGCGUAGCUUCUUAUUUUGUAAACUCCUGCACUCCCUGUUUGCUGCUGGGCUGAUCUGUGUUGCUCGACCAUGCUGGGGAGGUUAACAGCAUUCUUUAAUUUCCUUCCUUUGCAGACAGUCUGUGUGACUGUGAACAGGUUUAGUUCAAAGUCUUUAGAGAUGGUUUUGUACCCUCUCCCAGACUCCUCAGCUUCUAUAUCUAUCAUCCUUCCUUUGUGCUGUGAUACAAUCCUGAAACAUGCUGUGAAGAGCAGACUUUGACAGAUCCCUGAUCUUUACAUAAAACAGGGUGCCCAUGGACUCCUGACUGAGGGCUGUAAAAAGAGCAUUAAUAUUGAUUACAAGUCAGUCAGUUUUUAGUUCUCCAACAGUUCCAAAGGAAGAUCAGCUGCUACAUGCUCCACAAUGUUUCUUAGUUAGAUCUGUGCUUACUCUCCCUGUCAUUUGGUACAUUGGGUUCAUUAUCACCUAGUCAGAAUGAAGAAAGAGCUGAAAGAUGCUAAAAUGUCUGUGAUACACAGAAACUGUUAUCUCGUGGUUAAUCUCUGCAUAACAUCUACAUUAGACUCGCUACAUUAUAAAUGCUGUUUCCUUGCACAACAUUCAACAGCAUGCACAACUAACAAAAGACGAUAUAGCAACAGAGCUUACAGCAAAGACCUGGCCACAUUAAAAUACCAAGACAUGCAAGCAAAACAGCAACAUCAAAUCAUAGAAGGAGAAAUUCUACAUUUUCAGUAAAGUGGGAGUUUCCAGAUAUCUGAAAACAAUUUGCCUGUGGAACAUUUAGAGUUGAAGUCCGACUGCUGCUGUGUUUUACCAGUGAUAAGCAGGAGCACGCCAGUGAUGCAAAGCACUAGUUUCCUCACUACACCAUUUACAAAAAAGCUCUGUUUUGGGGACAGAGGAUAGCCCUUUUAGUCUGGAUCGAGGCUGAAAACAGGGACAAUAACAAGCAAUUAUGAAUUAAGCCAGCAUAGUUAUUACAUGGCUUAAUACUGUAAGCAAUAUGAAAUGUAAAAAUACAGGUUCUACUACUACUACUAAGAGGAAGAAAGAUAUGUUUUACUUCUGUACAUCUUUUUAAGGUGGCUUACAUGACAAACUCAGCUGAUAAAAAAUAAUUGAGUCAACAAAGCUACAUGCAAAAAUUCUGAAAUUUGAGAAUAAUUGAGCCUCGUUUGUAACCCAGUGAAAGAAGGUUGCCUUUGGAAGCCAUGUUCAUGCGUCCAAUUAAUGCAGACAAAGCCUCGAGGAGAGUGAGACUGUGGAAAAGUACAGAGGAUGGUAGCAACGCAUGAUACAUAAAAGGAGAAGGAGUCGUGCUAAUCAAUGAGACGGGGACUUCACAGGGUUGCCUAGUCAUCGGUUACCAUCCCCGGUUGCCACAGUAACGGGAGUGGAGACACAUAGAUGCCAAGGAAGAACAAAGUCACCAUGGUGAUGAGGUGAUAAGCUUGCUGUCUUACAAGGAUGAAAAAGACAGAAAACCAAGAAUGAAAAUCAAAGAAGAGGAAAAAGAUCCCUCUACACAUGACCCCUGCACAAGAUUCAACACAUCCAUCUACUGUAUUUACACCCCUGAUACUUCACAUAUUAUAUCUUGUAUUUCUGUUUGCCUGCCUUCAAGUCAUCAACUGUAUGUUUAUCUUUAAGCACAGAAGUCAAAUGCUCAACUCAGGAUGCCAUAGUUAAAGACAAUUCUCUCGCAUCAGUAGAAAAAACAAAAUAGAAAAUGAGAUGACCUCAUUUGCUAAAGCAGUAAUAUGAUACCCUAAAUCAUGAUUUUAUUAAUAGUUUGUGGGUUUUAAAGGGACUUAAAGGGCAGAUGCAUAAACUGUACAUAAAAGAUGGAAAUAACUAGUUGCUCUUAAAAGUAAAGGCAUUAACCUUAAACCCUCAUGCUUUGUAAUGGCCACCAGGGGGCGAUUCCUCUGGUUGAUGAAAACAUUAUUUUCAGCUCAGCUCUGUCGGUCGAUCUCCUGCUCCCAUCUCCCGUCACACGUGAACAAGAUACCGAGAUACUUAAACUCCUCCACUUGGGCCAGGAACUUGUCCCUGACCCGGAGUGGGCACUCCACCACUUUCCAGCUGAGGACUAUGGCCAUGGUUCAUUUUGUAACUUAUUAAAACAGGUUAUGUUUCACAUGUGACAAAGUCCUGGUGUCUGAGCAUAGACUAUCCAUCAAUUUUACAUUCAGAUUCACCUCCCAAUUGUUAUGUGAAAACUCUAAGCUUAUGGAUUCACGUUUUAUAUGGAUUACAUGUUUUGACUCCAUUUUUGCUACUUUGUGUCCACUUGUUGGAAUUUAAAGUUAGACAUAUUUUGAAUACACUGAA